rnacentral:rRNA from 1 species
UACGUAGGGUGCGAGCGUUGUCCGGAAUUACUGGGCGUAAAGAGUUCGUAGGCGGUUUGUCGCGUCGUUCGUGAAAACUUGGGGCUUAACUCCAAGCGUGCGGGCGAUACGGGCAGACUUGAGUACUACAGGGGAGACUGGAAUUCCUGGUGUAGCGGUGAAAUGCGCAGAUAUCAGGAGGAACACCGGUGGCGAAGGCGGGUCUCUGGGUAGUAACUGACGCUGAGGAGCGAAAGCGUGGGGAGCGAACAGG